GUCUCCGGAGCUAGGCUUGUGGCUCCCUGUCCCAGACUGCCGGCUCCGACCGACGCGGGCUCAGUGCGUGCACCCGGGAGCAAGCAUUCCCUGAAGGUAUAGAGAUCCAGACUGCCGUGCAAAGGAGACAACAGCUUUGGAAGAGUAUGGUUGAGACAGUGAGUGAGACUGGGGUCAAUGAUCACACAGCUUCCCAAUCUAGAUUCAGAAUAAACCCUAAUCCAAGGAGAAAAGGCCCUAAUUUCUUCUUAUAUCUCAAAUCCCCCCAGGGCUGCUGUCUAAUGAAGAAAAGUUAGGCAGACA